AUAAGCUUGAAUGAAUUCUCCUUUCAUCUCACCUGCACACUAUACACACUUUUGGGGUCUUUCAGGUUGUAACGAGGCUUGGGUUAAGGUGGGAUACGGAAAGGAUAGAAACGGAUUUUGGGUUCAUAGUCAAUGUUAUUAUUCUUGUCACGAUGUUUAUUCUAAAAUACCAUUUGACAUUUCCCCAUUUUUUCCAGCUCAGCUACUCAGUUCUUUUUCUUUUGUCUUUGAGUUUGAAUCCAACUGAGUCUUUUCCUUUGGUGACUGCUUUUAUUUGUGCCAUCAGAUUCUCUC
rnacentral:lncRNA from 1 species